rnacentral:rRNA from 1 species
UCUUGAGAGCGGCGGACGGGUGAGUAAUACCUAGGAAUCUGCCUGAUAGUGGGGGAUAACGUUCGGAAACGGACGCUAAUACCGCAUACGUCCUACGGGAGAAAGCAGGGGACCUUCGGGCCUUGCGCUAUCAGAUGAGCCUAGGUCGGAUUAGCUAGUUGGUGAGGUAAUGGCUCACCAAGGCUACGAUCCGUAACUGGUCUGAGAGGAUGAUCAGUCACACUGGAACUGAGACACGGUCCAGACUCCUACGGGAGGCAGCAGUGGGGAAUAUUGGACAAUGGGCGAAAGCCUGAUCCAGCCAUGCCGCGUGUGUGAAGAAGGUCUUCGGAUUGUAAAGCACUUUAAGUUGGGAGGAAGGGCAGUUACCUAAUACGUGAUUGUCUUGACGUUACCGACAGAAUAAGCACCGGCUAACUCUGUGC